UAACUAUUGCAUUGCUUUCAUACACUUUUCCAUCUUAACUGCCAUUUUAGUUUCUGGGUUCAAAUCUUGCAUCUUCUAGUGAUUUGUAAUUAUUAGUAAAACACAAAUCCAACUGAAAGAUUAUCACAAGUUAAUCCAAAAAGGCAAGAACUUAAUUAUUUUUCUAUCACAAAUAUGCAGGCAACCUAGCAAAUGCCACGG
rnacentral:misc_RNA from 1 species